UACGUAGGGUGCAAGCGUUAAUCGGAAUUACUGGGCGUAAAGCGUGCGCAGGCGGUUCGGCAAGAAAGAUGUGAAAUCCCAGGGCUUAACCUUGGAACUGCAUUUUUAACUGCCGAGCUAGAGUAUGUCAGAGGGGGGUAGAAUUCCACGUGUAGCAGUGAAAUGCGUAGAGAUGUGGAGGAACAUCAGUGGCGAAGGCGGCCAUCUGGGACAACACUGACGCUGAAGCACGAAAGCGUGGGGAGCAAACAGG
rnacentral:rRNA from 1 species